rnacentral:rRNA from 1 species
UACGUAGGGUGCAAGCGUUGUCCGGAAUUAUUGGGCGUAAAGAGCUCGUAGGCGGUCGCGUAAGAGUGCGGGGACAGUGGGCGGCUUAACUGCCCAAGGGUCGCACAGACUGCGUGACUGGAGGGCCAGAGAGGGACCUGGAAUUCCGGGUGGAGCGGUGAAAUGCGUAGAGAUCCGGAGGAACACCAAUGGCGAAGGCAGGGUCCUGGCUGGCACCUGACGCUCAUGUGCGAAAGCCAGGGGAGCGAACGGG